rnacentral:hammerhead_ribozyme from 1 species
CCACUAUUGAAGAGUCCCACAAUAGGACGAAACGGCCAUCCAGUGC